rnacentral:rRNA from 1 species
GUAGUUAACUUAUUGAAGUUGUACUUGUUAGUAAAAACUAAUUAGAAGGAGUUUUGAAUAGAGUUAUGAGACGCGUACAAAUCGCCCGGCGCCCUUAUAUUAAAAUUAAGGUAAGUCGUAACAUAGUAAUGCUAGUAGAAACUGGUGUUAAG